CUGAAGUGUGUUGUUCCCUAAAAUUACUUUUAUUUUUAACUUUCUUCUAUAGCUAGUACUAUACUAUGAAGCUGUGGCUACUGAACUCAGGAAAGUCUUUACCUCUCCUUCAUUUCUGAAGGGCAGCUAGCUUUGCUGGGUAUAGCAACUUCCUGAGGACUCUGAAAACAAUAGCAGAGUGCUCAAGAUGGCAACAUGGGACACUCCUGACUUCAGUCCCCUUCACAAGAAGACCAACCAGGGACUAUUCAUAGAUAAGACACUGUUGUGUUAAAUCUCACCUUACAAAAAGAGCCCAGACCUCGUGGAUCUCCCAGCCUGACCGACACCAUUUUCUUCUCCCCCUGCCUGGACCAGGGUUCAUGCACUGAAAAGGAAUUUGACCACCGCUUACACAGAGUUGAUGGUAAAAACAUAUCCAAUACAGAGACAAGACUCUUCAGAUACCUCGUUCCUCCCUCCCUCAAAAUUGAAGCUAUUGAGCAGAUAAAACUAGCAAGUUAUCAGCUUCUCCUACGGUUUUGAGGAGAAAGAAAGGUCUCUCUAAUUCAAUAGUGUUUUCAAGGUACAAAUCACAUUUUUAUUACUUACCACCUAGAAUUUUAUAAUUGAAGGAUAAACAGCACAAAUAACUCUAAAUAAAUGAAAACAAAAUCUGAACUCACAUUCCAUCUGCCCCCACCACUACCAUUGCUGGCAUUACCAUCCCCAAUAACAACGGUGACCAGUUAGAUGAUAAAACUCUUUAAAAAUCAGAUCUCCCCUCCAGGAUCUUGCAAUCUUCCUCAAAUAAGUAUAAACAAGGUCCAGAGAUAA